rnacentral:misc_RNA from 1 species
GAUGAAGAACGCAGCGAAAUGCGAUACUUGGUGUGAAUUGCAGAAUCCCGUGAACCAUCGAGUCUUUGAACGCAAGUUGCGCCCGAAGCCACUAGGCCGAGGGCACGCCUGCCUGGGCGUCACACGUCGUUGCCCCCCCCCCAUCUACUCCUUCGGGAUUGCGGGGGGCGGAUGAUGGCCUCCCGUGCGCCUAGCCGCGCGGUUGGCAUAAAUACCAAGUCCUCGGCGACGCACGCCACGACAAUCGGUGGUUGCGAAACCUCGGUUGCCCGUCGUGUGCGUUCGUCGCGCAUCGAGGGCUCGAAAAAAUGCUCGGCUCCGGCUCGGCUUUCAACGCGACCCCAGGUCAGGCGGAGUUACCCGCUGAAUUUAAGCAUAUCAAUAAGCGGAGGA